CUUUUUCCUGAGCUGAGACAAUGUUCACGCAUAAGAGCUAAUGUGGGCUUGCUGUGCACCCUCUACCCUGCUACCCCUAAUGUGGGCUUCACCUGGUACUUCCCUGCAUGAGGUGAAGCGUGCUUUUCAAAAUUGCCAGUGCUGCAGGACUGUUGUGUAUACUUUGCCUGAGGUAGAGCGGCGUCCUUCCUACGUGCACUUAAUUGUGCUGGCGGGGGAUUUUAAUUUGAUGUCUGGGAGGUUGCCUUUAAAAAGUUAAGGCUCUUAAAUAAUGCCCUGCAGCCCAGGAACAAAAAGGGUGUCUUAAGACAUCCCUUAUGUCCAAAAUUUCAGCAACGCACCUUCUCCGGGUAAGACAUAUGCACUCCAGCAAAUAAUCUAAAGGAUGUUUAUGGCAAAGCUGAAGCCGGAUGCCAUUUUGCUUGUUUCAAAAGUGACCUGUGGAUGUUCAGAAACAAUUACAGCCUUAUCUGUGUACAUGCCACUUCCUGACAUCAAAUUUUGAAAUCAAGAUAAUUACCCCAGUAAGUGCAGACUCACCUGAAAAGCUGGAAACACUAUCGCGUAUAAAAUCGACGAGUUCAGAAAAUCACAGAGUGCUUAGCGCUGCUUUGAACUGUGGGAGUUUACCAGUACGAAAGAAACGGGUGGCCUCCAAUCUGUACCGAUUUCUCCCCUACCUGUCCAUUGUCCACGAUGUGUCAAGGUCAGCGAAAGCGAAAUGUAAAGAAUUGUUCUUCGUUCCCUCGCUCAGCAAGAGCCCAGGAUGCAAUGCGUGCGCAAAUAGCACUGGGAUUUUCUGAACUCAUCUAUUAAAGAGUAGGGACUUCGCAUAGAAAAAUUGCAUGUCUCUCUUGUGACAGUUAUGCCAAAAAAAUUAUACUAAUUGGAUACAAAUUGCAAACCUUAGUGCAAAAGAAACAUAUUGUAAAAUUUGCACAAAAAUUCGAUAUUUGAAUUGAUUUCAAAUUUCAGAUUUGCACACCCUAUUCAAUAUCAUGUUGGACAAAGCCAUCUUUUUACCUGAAACAAGUCUGGUAGUUCACCUGAGGCAGAAAUUGUAGAAAUACAACCGUGUGGAACUCAACCUAAUAAUGCCCUAAAAACGAAGCAAAGGACAUUUUCCAGCUGGUGCCCAAUGCAAUGCAGUGGCUCUGGUGCCGUUGCAUACAUGACUAGGACAUUAGGCUCAUGUUAUGUGGAAAGAAACAUUACCUUUUUUUUAUGUAUAUGCAUAUGUGAAGAAAACAUGGACAGUCCUACUUUGCGUGUCAGCUGAAUUGCCUUAUGCAGAUACUUUUUUUUUUUUUUGAAAUGAAAAGGAUAGACAGGAAAGUCUCCUCACUAUUUUUGCAGAAGCAUUUAUUAAACUAAAUAAUUAAUUGA